rnacentral:rRNA from 1 species
AACUGGGGUUAAUUCCCGAUGGGUGAGGAGGCCUGGAAUGGUUCUUCACUGAAAGGGCGCUAGAGGCAUGCUCUCUAACGUUGCCCAAGGAUGGGGCCGCGGCCGAUCAGGUUGUUGGUGAGGUAACGGCUUACCAAGCCUAUAACCGGUACGGGCCGUGAGAGCGGAAGCCCGGAGAUGGGCACUGAGAUAAGGGCCCAGGCCCUACGGGGCGCAGCAGUUGCGAAAACUCCGCAAUGCACGAAAGUGUGACGGGGCUACCCCGAGUGCCGUCCGCUGAGGAUGGCUUUUCUCCGCUGUAAGGAGGCGGAGGAAUAAGGAGAGGGCAAGACUGGUGUCAGCCGCCGCGGUAAUACCAGCUCCCCGAGUGGUAGGGGUGAUUAUUGGGCUUAAAGCGUCCGUAGCCGGCCUGGCAAGUCUUCCGUUAAAUCCAGCAACCUAAUUGUUGGGCUGCGGGGGAUACUGUUAGGCUUGGGGGCGGGAGAGGCCGACGGUAUUCUCGGGGUAGGGGUGAAAUCUUAUAAUCCCGAGAGGACCACCAGUGGCGAAGGCUGUCGGCUAGCACGCGCCUGACGGUGAGGGACGAAAGCUGGGGGAGCGAACCGGAUUAGAUACCCGGGUAGUCCCUGCUGUAAACGAUGCGAGCUAGGUGUUGGGGCGGCUACGAGCCGCUUCAGUGCCGCAGCGAAGGCGUUAAGCUCGCCGCCUGGGGAGUACGGCCGCAAGGCUGAAACUUAAAGGAAUUGGCGGGGGAGCACCACAAGGCGUGAAGCUUGCGGUUCAAUUGGAGUCAACGCCGGGAACCUUACCGGGGGCGACAGCAGGAUGAAGGCCAGGUUGAUGGUCUUGCUGGACGAGCUGAGAGGAGGCGCAUGGCCGUCGUCAGUUCGUGCCGUGAGGUGUCCUCUUAAGUGAGGUAACGAUCGAGACCCGCACCCCUUGUUGCUAACAGACUCCAUCGGGGUCUGUGCACACUAGGGGGACCGCCGUCGAUAAGACGGAGGAAGGAGCGGGCCACGGCAGGUCAGUAUGCCCCGAAUCCCCCGGGCCACACGCGAGCUGCAAUGGCAGGGACAAUGGGUGUCGACUCCGAAAGGAGGAGGUAAUCUCUAAACCCUGCCUCAGUUGGGAUCGAGGGCUGAAACCCGUCCUCGUGAAUAUGGAAUGCCUAGUAAUCGCGCGUCAUCAUCGCGCGGUGAAUACGUCCCCGCUCCUUGCACACACCGCCCGUCGUUCCAUCCGAGUGGGGUUUGGGUGAGGCGUAGUCCUUGGUGGCUGCGUCGAACUCAGGUUCCGCAAGGAGGG